AGCUCGACCGGGUCGACGGCACGGCUGGUGAGCAGGUAGUCGCGCAUCACGAUGCCGUGCCGACCCUC
rnacentral:ncRNA from 2 species